GAACUGCUUUUUUGUCGGUGGCAGUGCCGCUAGCUCAGUCGUCUUCAGGGCAGAGUACCCCUAAUGCCACAGCUCGCAACAUAAGUAUCGAUAACUUCGCGGUCUCACUUUACUAAUCUAUCGGUCAUCACUAAGGGCAAAAACGUAAACAAAGCAAAAAUCUACAAUUAUUGUCGGGAAAAUGGAUUACAUUUGGUGGCUAUCGAUGUCCUAGCCAAGCGCUCCCGCCCAUCCAUGGAUGCCCUCAAGGUGCUGCAGGGCACCACCCAUUCGUAGUCGGCAGGAGCACCCUCCUCGCGACUACGGCUACGGUUCCAUCUCCCCCACUGGGAAAGCUUAUUCACACAUAGUGGGUAUUACAAAGGUUUAAUAAAUAUGCCUCUAAGACCGAAACCUGGCCCCCGUCUCGGAUAUUUACGCGGUCAAAGCAGAGGAUAUGUUUUGCUGGGAAAGGGUACAGGCGCCGCGGAAAACUAUGCUCCACCAGCCAUGUAUUGGUAGAGCUCGCAUGGAAACGCGGGCCUCAAGGGAACAUGCGCGAUGCGCGUGCGUAUGGUCACCUAAUCCUGAGGAGCUCCAAGGGAAAAGAAGGGACAGGCCAAAAAGGCAAACAACGAGGACAAAUAAGGCUCUCGGGUCUAACUCCGGAUAAACUCACAAACAGCCACUGUCGGGCCGGCCUGGAGGCGAUGAUUGCCCGGGCUGAUGACUUCCCGUCGGAGGCCAGCAGCGAUACGGGAAAACGACGCUCUCCGGUGAGUGGUGCACGGGCAGUCCGAGAUUCGGCUGCCAGACAAAAUGGUGAUACUUCUCAGCGCCGCAAUGCGACCGCUGGAAGUUCCCGAGAGGAGGAGGAGGACGCGGUACGCCGGAAGGGACUCACCGGGAAGUGUUGACGUCGUCGGCGUCGAUUGUAGAAGGCUUUCCUGGUUGGUCGCUGGCACGGGUCGAACGGACACCGGUUGCUGGUCAGCCAAGUCGGGCUGGUAGGCACAAAGAAAAUUUAUACUAGAACUCCUAGCUGCAUCUGCCUUGAUUGCUGGACAGUAUGGCCGCGACUAUCACGAUAUCUGCUGAUCAUCGCCCCCCGCCAUAUUACAUGGCCUCUCUCGACAUUGGGUCAUUGGAUACAUGGGCCAUUUGAAGUAAUCCCAGAGCGAACCGGGAUUAAUCUUCAAAUGGCCAGAUCGCCCGCCAGACUCAUCUCGCUGCUGCAGCUAUCGCCCUAUCGACCUAAACUAUCGAUAACGUCGCUCCCACUCGACUCCAAUUGCAACAUCAACCAAAGAUUUCGAGGGGCGCUGCCCGGAGUUUCAGCAGAACGAUGAAAUAAUUGGUAGCUUUGGAGAUACGAUGGGAUUCAACACGGCACUGAUACCAUCCUGCAGUUCGAUCGGGGCCUAACGCGGGGCCCACGCAUGACGGGAAGUAUUGCAGAUGUGAUCGCGAUGCU